GUAGGGAAUAUUGGGCAAUGGUCGGAAGACUGACCCAGCCAUGCCGCGUGCAGGAAGACGGCCCUCUGGGUUGUAAACUGCUUUUAUCUGGGAAGAAAAAGGCCAUGCGUGGCAAAUUGCCGGUACCAGAUGAAUAAGCACCGGCUAACUCCGUGCCAGCAGCCGCGGUAAUACGGAGGGUGCGAGCGUUGUCCGGAUUUAUUGGGUUUAAAGGGUGCGUAGGCGGCUAGUUAAGUCAGCGGUGAAAGACUUCGGCUUAACCGGAGCAGUGCCGUUGAUACUGGUUGGCUUGAGUGUCGGAGGGGUACAUGGAAUUGAUGGUGUAGCGGUGAAAUGCAUAGAUACCAUCAGGAACACCGAUAGCGAAGGCAUUGUACUGGCCGACAACUGACGCUGAUGCACGAAAGUGUGGGGAUCGAACAGGAUUAGAUACCCGGGUAGUCC
rnacentral:rRNA from 1 species